GAUGAACGCUAGCGGGAGGCUUAACACAUGCAAGUCGAGGGGCAGCAUAGGGUAGCAAUACUCUGAUGGCGACCGGCAAACGGGUGAGUAACGCGUAUGCAACCUACCCUGUACAGGGGGAUAACCCGGAGAAAUUCGGACUAAUAUCCCGUAAUAAUAUCCGGAGGCAUCUUUGGAUAUUUAAAGUUCCGACGGUACGGGAUGGGCAUGCGUAACAUUAACUGGUUGGUAAGGUAACGGCUUACCAAGGCUAUGAUGUUUAGGGGUCCUGAGAGGGUGGUCCCCCACACUGGUACUGAGACACGGACCAGACUCCUACGGGAGGCAGCAGUGAGGAAUAUUGGUCAAUGGGCGCAAGCCUGAACCAGCCAUCCCGCGUGCAGGAAGACGGCCCUAUGGGUUGUAAACUGCUUUUCCAGGGAGAGAAACUUACGCACGUGUUGCGUGACUGACGGUACCUGGAAUAAGCAUCGGCUAACUCGUG
rnacentral:rRNA from 1 species